UAAUCGAUGUGUUGCGCAUGCGAUGUAGC
rnacentral:sRNA from 1 species